GGGGUGAUGGCUCGGUAGUAGAGCGCUCGCCUAGCAUGUGUGAGAUACUGAGUUUGAUUCUCAGCACCCCA
rnacentral:tRNA from 1 species